CAGUGAUCGUGGCAAACUCCGACAACGCCUAAGUGUAUGUCUGCAUUCUCAAGUGGCUCACUGGGUUACGAUGCAUCUGAUUGAUGCCCACCAUCCGGAGCCUCUGAAGGCAGACAGGAGGCAUUACUGAUUGAGGCGCUGAUCCAGCUCCUUCUUGACAUGCUGAACCCAGUGAGAGCGGGGAUUGACACACAGUUCUUUGCCAAUUGUGGUAUAAAG